ACGGAGGAUGCAAGCGUUAUCCGGAUUUAUUGGGCUUAAAGGGUGCGUAGGCGGAAAAUUAAGUGAGAGGUGAAAUCCAGCAGCUUAACUAUUGAAAGCCUUGCGAGCUGGAAGACUUGAGUGCAGGAGAGGAAAGUGGAAUUCCUAGUGUAGCGGUGAAAUGCGUAGAUAUUAGGAGGAACACCAGUUGCGAAGGCGACUUUCUGGACUGUAACUGACGCUGAUGCACGAAAGCGUGGGGAGCAAACAG
rnacentral:rRNA from 1 species